rnacentral:rRNA from 1 species
CUCGUAGGCGGCCAACUAAGUCCGACGUGAAAUCCCCAGGCUUAACCUGGGAACUGCGUCGGAUACUGGAUGGCUUGAAUUCGGGAGAGGGAUGCAGAAUUCCAGGUGUAGCGGUGAAAUGCGUAGAUAUCUGGAGGAAUACCGGUGGCGAAGGCGGCAUCCUGGACCGACAUUGACGCUGAUGAACGAAAGCUAGGGGAGCAAACG